CGUGGCUAAUCUGCCCUUGGGACCGGAACACCCCCGGGAAAACUGGGGCUAAUUCUCGAUAGGUGAAGAACUCUGGAAUGAGUCUUUGCCAAAAAGUUGUUAAGGUUAUGCUCUUUGAUAACGCCCAAGGAUGAGGCCGCGACCGAUCAGGUUGUUGGUGAGGUAAUGGCUCACCAAGCCUUUUACCGGUGCGGGCCGUGAGAGCGGGAGCCCGGAGAUGGGCACUGAGACAAGGGCCCAGGCCCUACGGGGCGCAGCAGUCGCGAAAACUUUGCAAUAAGCGAAAGCUUGACAGGGCUAUCCCGAGUGCCAUCCGCUGAGGAAGGCUUUUACCCAGUCUAGAACGCUGGGGGAAUAAGGAGAGGGCAAGUCUGGUGUCAGCCGCCGCGGUAAUACCAGCUCUCCGAGUGGUGUGGAUGUUUAUUGGGCCUAAAGCAUCCGUAGCUGGCUAAGUUAGUCCCUUGUUAAAUCCACCGAAUUAAUCGUUGGAUUGCGGGGGAUACUGCUUGGCUAGGGGACGAGAGAGGCAGACGGUAUUUCCGGGGUAGGGGUGAAAUCCUAUAAUCCCGGGAAGACCACCAGUGGCGAAGGCUGUCUGCUAGAACGCGCCCGACGGUGGGGGAUGAAAGCUGGGGGAGCGAACCGGAUUAGAUACCCGGGUAGUCCCAGCUGU
rnacentral:rRNA from 1 species